AGCUAUGGUUGGACCCCUGAAGGUGAAUUAGAUACAUUGAUACAUCCAUAUUUCAAUAUCUAUAAAUAUGAACAUGAGUUGGGUGAAUGUGUGUGUGUUUUCAUUUUCUGGCAUUGAACUUGGUAUUGCAUGUGCUUGUUUUGGAAAAAUAUUUGCAAUUGAUUUUUUUUUUCUAGUGAUUUUGAAGUGACUCUCGUGAACGAUGUGAUUUUAGCUUCGUGGGUUGUUUAACAUUUCCAGUUCGUAUUUGGAUGAAGCUUGUAAGUUGUAAAUU
rnacentral:misc_RNA from 1 species